UAAAAAAGAACCAUUGAGUCUAUUGGAAAAGGUAUAGACAAACAAUAGAUUCUUAUGUUAACCAUGCUUUCUAUUGUGAAUGCGUUGUAGAGAACGUUCUAAAAUUUGACGCUUCACAAUAAAUAAACAUUAGAUUUCAAUGUUACAGUAUUUUCUAUUGCCAUACCAUAGAUUAACAUUAGAUUCAAUUGUUUCAGUACGAAAAUGGGUGAAGAGUACAAUUUUUAGUGUAACUUUUUUUAAGCGUGUAUUUGUUUUGUUGGUGUGGCUUUUUCGGAUGCCGGCUGUCCGCCGCGUGUGUUUUUUCAGUGAAGUUUGCUUCCGAGCGUUUGUGUGCCGUUCUUCCAGGCAAAUCUGCUCCACCGAUGCAGCCGGAUAGGUCCGACGGUGAACGAGAUUGCGGGGCUAUUCACGACAUGGCCGGAGACGAUGACGGAUCAGCGCUGGAUCGUAUGGUCGCCUCGCAGAUUCAGAAGGACAUGGUUGGUUGGCGACGAACAACACCAGAUGUUCGAGCCCAGUGGUGUGGGACGAAAGGCAGCGGCUGUAAUGUCAAAUAUUUCGGGGGAAACACGACGGAACACUUCGCGACGGGAGGAUCACUCUGGCUGAAGGUGAUUUGGCAAGGGCCAACUUUUCUAGGGUGGUGAGAACCAGAACACGAACGGCAACGCUUACAAAGCUAUUCAUUCCUCUGCUCUGAAUCCGAAGGCGAAUCUCAGCCGUUUCGCGCAGGUAAAUUUCAUCAGCCGUAGGCGUAGAAACAUCUUUAGUGAAAUCUACGGGGGCAAUAUUUUUAAAAACAAAAAUUUGAAUAAAAGGUAUGUAUAAACUUUGGAGCAACCCAUGCUGGGCACUAGCUUCUUUGACUGGGAUAAUGGGGUAUUAACUAUGAAAUUCAUAGAUUCUAUUAUCUACCUAACAACUAUUUCAAUUAUAAUUUUGUCGUUUCAAUUUUGUGAUGCAAAACAACUUUUGCGUGUAGAAUAUUUGAAUUUGAACCAUUAAAAAAAUUAUGGGAGGAUCGUUCAGAAAAAAUACCCUUGUUUCUAAAAAUUAAGCAGUUACAGCAAAAGUUUGUUCGGCAGUUAUUCUUGUAAUGACCCAUUUAUUUAUUUAGUUCAACAUCUAAUUCAUCAUAACAUUGGAUGCACAAUUUGCCGCCAUAACACUCGAUUUGCAGCUGUAGCUCUCCAACGUCGAUCACACCCAACGCUCUCCAGAUCAAUAGUUUACUAAAAAUCGUAUUGUGCUUCUAAAUUCUUACAAAAACACUGCUAAACUUUCAAGGUAUCUUGUUUUAUUUAUGACAACCGCUUUUUAAAUUUUUACUUAAAGAAAUUUAAGUAUAAUCUUUUGCAUUUGGAUGCAUUGAGGGGUCUUCAAAUGUAGGUUCACUCUUUAAGUUUGGAGCGCUUGAAUACGUUUGCGUCAAAUUUAAUAGCCUUCUCAUGCGGCAACUAUCAAAUUUGACACAAUCGUAUGCUUGUUCUCCGUGCUGUAGUCCGUCGAGUGUCUUGUUACAAUAAUGGUUAAGCACGCUGUAAUGUUACUUUUGUACCUCAUCACCCACUAAAUGCAACUACAUUAGUGGACUAAUAACACUUAGCGCGCUUCGGCACGGUUCCAUCAUGCCGCUCAUAGUGUUGCCACAUAUAAUGCUUAGUUUGUUAAACCCAGUUAUCUGGCUGGUGGGGCAUGGGAGCCUAAGCUUCGACCAUUAAUGCAAUCAGACGUUAUUUGAACUAUGACAUGAGCGAUCCGAAUAUUUGAAGAACUUUUCAAACUAUAUAGAAGCUUGUGUAUGUCAACAUAGAACGAACUAAAUCUUUGCAAUAUUUUGCAUUUUAACGCUUCGAACGAUCUUCAAGUAUAGGUUCAAGUUGUAGUAUAUCGAGUAUUUUAAGUGCUACAAUAAUGGUUAAGCACGCUGUAAUGUUACGUUUGUACCUCAUCACCCAAUAAAUGCAACUACAUUAGUGGACUAAUAACACUUAGCGCGCUUCGGCACGGUUCCAUCAUGCCGCUUAUAGUGUUGCCACAUAUAAUGCUUAGUCUGCUGAACCCAGUUAUCUGGCUGUGGGGUAUGGGAGCUCAAGCUUCAACCAUUAAUGCAAUUAAACAUUACUCGAUUUACGACAUGAUUGAUCCAAAUAUUAAAUAAUUGUUCGAUCUGUGUUCUUAAAAUGUAGCCCUGAAUGUAGCAUAAAAUAUACAAGCUUCUAGUCCAAAUGUAUAAAAAUAGUUCAGAUUCACUGUUUUUCAGAUUGUUUUCAAGCAAUCAGUAACAAAAAUAAAAAGCAGAAAUAGAUCAAACCAUUCCAAAAUGUUCAUAUUCGUUUGUAAAACAAAACUAUUCCAAAACAUUAGAAUUUUCUGUUUCACAGUAGAAAACAAUUCCCAAACCAUUGGAUAGGGCAAAACAGUAUGUUCACAAUUGAAAGCAAUUCCAAAACAAUAGAAUCUAAUGUGUAAUUAAGUCACUGCUUAAAUAACAAUAUGAAAACAUAAGAAUCAUCUGUAUCACAUUAGAAAACAAUUCCCAAACCAUUGAAUCAAUUGUUGAACCAGUAAUAAAAUUACUACUCAAAACAAUA